rnacentral:tRNA from 2 species
GGAGGCGAAAAGAGUCCGGUGACUUUCCCGGCCUUCAAAGCCGGUGAUUCGGUCCUUCGCGGGUCGAAUGGUGGGUUCGACUCCCACACGCUUCCGCCA